rnacentral:rRNA from 1 species
CCUCGGGACGCAGCAGUGGGGAAUAUUGCACAAUGGGGGAAACCCUGAUGCAGCGACGCCGCGUGAGUGAAGAAGUAUCUCGGUACGUAAAGCUCUAUCAGCCGGAAAGAAAAUGACGGUACCUGACUAAGAAGCCCCGGCUAACUACGUGCCAGCAGCCGCGGUAAUACGUAGGGGGCAAGCGUUAUCCGGAUUUACUGGGUGUAAAGGGAGCGUAGACGGCGCUGCAAGUCCGGAGUGAAAGCCCAUGGCUUAACCAUGGUACUGCUCUGGAAACUGUAGAGCUUGAGUGCGGGCGGGGCAGG